rnacentral:rRNA from 1 species
UACGUAGGGCGCAAGCGUUGUCCGGAAUUAUUGGGCGUAAAGAGCUCGUAGGCGGUCUGUCGCGUCGGCUGUGAAAUCCCGGAGCUCAACUCCGGGUCUGCAGUCGAUACGGGCAAACUGGAGUACUGCAGGGGAGACUGGAAUUCCUGGUGUAGCGGUGAAAUGCGCAGGUAUCAGGAGGAACACCGGUGGCGAAGGCGGGUCUCUGGGCAGUAACUGACGCUGAGGAGCGAAAGCGUGGGGAGCGAACAGG